AUCAGUGAAAACGAGUAGGGCGGGACACGUGAUAUCCUGUCUGAAUAUGGGGGGACCAUCCUCCAAGGCUAAAUACUACUGACUGACCGAUAGUGAACCAGUACCGUGAGGGAAAGGCGAAAAGAACCCCUGUGAGGGGAGUGAAAUAGAACCUGAAACCGUGUACGUACAAGCAGUAGGAGCACCUUCGUGGUGUGACUGCGUACCUUUUGUAUAAUGGGUCAGCGACUUAAUUUUAGUAGCAAGGUUAACCGUUUAGGGGAGCCGUAGGGAAACCGAGUCUUAACUGGGCGUACAGUUGCUAGGAUUAGACCCGAAACCAGGUGAUCUAGCCAUGGGCAGGUUGAAGGUUGAGUAACAUCAACUGGAGGACCGAACCGACUAAUGUUGAAAAAUUAGCGGAUGACUUGUGGCUAGGGGUGAAAGGCCAAUCAAACCUGGAGAUAGCUGGUUCUCCCCGAAAGCUAUUUAGGUAGCGCCUCGGACGAAUACUACUGGGGGUAGAGCACUGUUAAGGCUAGGGGGUCAUCCCGACUUACCAACCCUUUGCAAACUCCGAAUACCAGUAAGUACUAUCCGGGAGACACACGGCGGGUGCUAACGUCCGUCGUGGAGAGGGAAACAACCCAGACCGCCAGCUAAGGUCCCAAAGUAUAGCUAAGUGGGAAACGAUGUGGGAAGGCUCAGACAGCCAGGAUGUUGGCUUAGAAGCAGCCAUCAUUUAAAGAAAGCGUAAUAGCUCACUGGUCGAGUCGGCCUGCGCGGAAGAUGUAACGGGGCUAAGCUAUACACCGAAGCUGCGGCUACGUACCUUAGGGUAUGUGGGGUAGGGGAGCGUUCUGUAAGCCGUUGAAGGUGGUCUGUAAGGGCUGCUGGAGGUAUCAGAAGUGCGAAUGCUGACAUGAGUAACGAUAAAGGGAGUGAAAAACUCCCUCGCCGGAAGACCAAGGGUUCCUGUCCAACGUUAAUCGGGGCAGGGUAAGUCGACUCCUAAGGCGAGGCCGAAAGGCGUAGUCGAUGGGAAAC
rnacentral:rRNA from 1 species